rnacentral:rRNA from 1 species
AGAGUUUGAUCCUGGCUCAGAACGAACGCUGGCGGCAGGCUUAACACAUGCAAGUCGAACGCCCCGCAAGGGGAGUGGCAGACGGGUGAGUAACGCGUGGGAACGUGCCCUUCGCUUCGGAAUAGCCCCGGGAAACUGGGAGUAAUACCGAAUACGCCGUAUUGGGAAAGAUUUAUCGGCGAAGGAUCGGCCCGCGUUAGAUUAGCUAGUUGGCGGUGUAAUGGACCACCAAGGCUACGAUCUAUAGCUGGUCUGAGAGGAUGAUCAGCCACGCUGGGACUGAGACACGGCCCAGACUCCUACGGGAGGCAGCAGUGGGGAAUCUUGGACAAUGGGCGGAAGCCUGAUCCAGCAAUACCGCGUGUGUGAAGAAGGCCUGAGGGUUGUAAAGCACUUUCAACGGGGAGGAAAAAGUAAAGGCGAAUACCCUUUAUAUUGACAUUACCCGUACAAGAAGCACCGGCUAACUCCGUGCCAGCAGCCGCGGUAAUACGGAGGGUGCGAGCGUUAAUCGGAAUUACUGGGCGUAAAGCGUGCGUAGGCGGCCUGCCAAGCCAGGUGUGAAAGCCCCGGGCUCAACCUGGGAACGGCACUUGGAACUGGUAGGCUAGAGUUGGGUAGAGGGGAGCGGAAUUCCGGGUGUAGCGGUGAAAUGCGUAGAUAUCCGGAGGAACACCAGUGGCGAAGGCGGCUCCCUGGACCCAAACUGACGCUGAGGCACGAAAGCGUGGGUAGCAAACAGGAUUAGAUACCCUGGUAGUCCACGCCGUAAACGAUGUCGACUAGCCGUUGGGCCCCCUUGGGGGCUUAGGGGCGCAGCUAACGCAUUAAGUCGACCGCCUGGGGAGUACGGCCGCAAGGUUAAAACUCAAAUGAAUUGACGGGGGCCCGCACAAGCGGUGGAGCAUGUGGUUUAAUUCGAUGCAACGCGAAGAACCUUACCGCCCCUUGACAUGUACUGGAAUGCCCGCAGAGACGUGGGCAGCCGCAAGGCCAGUACACAGGUGUUGCAUGGCUGUCGUCAGCUCGUGUCGUGAGAUGUUGGGUUAAGUCCCGCAACGAGCGCAACCCUCGCCAUUAGUUGCCAUCAUUAAGUUGGGCACUCUAGUGGGACUGCCGGUGAUAAGCCGGAGGAAGGUGAGGAUGACGUCAAGUCAUCAUGGCCCUUACGGGCUGGGCUACACACGUGCUACAAUGGCGGUGACAGUGGGCAGCGAGGCAGUAAUGCCAAGCUAAUCUCAAAAAGCCGUCUCAGUUCGGAUUGAGGUCUGCAACUCGACCUCAUGAAGUCGGAAUCGCUAGUAAUCGCGCAUCAGCACGGCGCGGUGAAUACGUUCCCGGGCCUUGUACACACCGCCCGUCACACCAUGGGAGUUGGUCUUACCCUAAGACGGUGCGCUAACCAGCAAUGGAGGCAGCCGGCCACGGUAAGGUCAGCGACUGGGGUGAAGUCGUAACAAGGUAGCCGUA